rnacentral:rRNA from 1 species
GAUGAACGCUGGCGGCGUGCCUAAUACAUGCAAGUCGAGCGAACGGACGAGAAGCUUGCUUCUCUGAUGUUAGCGGCGGACGGGUGAGUAACACGUGGAUAACCUACCUAUAAGACUGGGAUAACUUCGGGAAACCGGAGCUAAUACCGGAUAAUAUUUUGAACCGCAUGGUUCAAAAGUGAAAGACGGUCUUGCUGUCACUUAUAGAUGGAUCCGCGCUGCAUUAGCUAGUUGGUAAGGUAACGGCUUACCAAGGCAACGAUGCAUAGCCGACCUGAAGGGGGGAACGUCCCCGCAGAAACAGAAACAAGGUCCGGACCCCCAGGGAAGGAAGCAUUGGGGAAUCUUCCAAAAAGGGCAAAACCCUGACGAGCAAAAGCCGGGGGAGUAUUAAAGGCUUUCGGUUCGGAAAAAUCUUUUAUUGGGGAAAAAAAAGUUUUAAAGUAACCUGGACCAUUUGAAGGGUACCUAAUCAGAAAGCAACGGCAAACUACGU